GGAACAAAGGACGAACCCCCUGGAAAUCUAACUUGGCUGCGUUUGUUUCUCAUAUUUUAGUUAUUGGAAGCUUGUUGACAGAAUAUUUAGUGAAGUUUGUCUGCAGUUUUCUGGUUGCCUGCUUCCGUUUCAGCAUGUAUUAUGUCCAACAUAAUGUAUGGAAAUUAUUUUCUGCUAGAUUAUGCUGUCAUUUUUUUAUUUGAACUGAUUAGGUACCUUUCUGUUCCAAAGAACUAAUUCGCCCUUUACCAUGAGUAUAAAUUAGAAAACGCCAUUAAUGUGAGAUUGUCUGUGUCUGAAGCCUUUAGAUCCUCCAGCAAAGCUUCCGAGCGAGAAUUUGGAGCUGGGCAUGCUGUUUGGAUGGCUGCCGAGCUUGCCAAUAGUACAUCAGGUUGUCAAAAAAAUGGUUACAAACCUUUAGAAUAACUUUUAAUAUGUUGAUUCAAAUUUGGCCUGUCCAUGGCCAGACGUGAUUGGGAGUUGGGACGUCUGGGCGUGCAUUUGUGACUUGUGAGUAGCAGUAGCCAUGUGUGUAUGCAUUAUGAAAUGGGAAUGAGAUCCUCUGCCUCUGAACCUUUACAUUUGAAUCCCUGUCACGUGGAUUUAGAUUCUGUCAUGAGGACCCAGAUUCGGUGGAGGCCCCAAAGUUAGAGGAACCACUUCCAUAAAAUGCGUGUGUGCGUCAAAAUUUUAAAGAAAUCAACUGAGCAUUCAAGAGAGCUCCUAUAAUUUAAUACUCCCUCCGUCCACGAGAAUAAACACUUUAAAUGUUCUUGUAAAAUAUUUUAAAGAAUAAACACUUUAAAUGUUCUUGUCAAAUAUUUUAAACUUUGAUAAAUAAAUAGCAAAAGUAAUCGUAAAGAUUAAUAACGUAAUAAAAAAACAUCAUAACAUGUAACUCUUUAUUGAAAUGACUUUUUACAUAUAUUAUUGAUCAAAAUUAAAAUUUUUAUUAGAAUAAGGGAAAAAAGUGUGUUAUUCUCCAAUAAUUUGAAAGUUUUCAAAACGAAAAAAAAAAA
rnacentral:lncRNA from 1 species